rnacentral:rRNA from 1 species
UACGGAGGGGGCUAGCGUUGUUCGGAAUUACUGGGCGUAAAGCGCACGUAGGCGGCGCGCCAAGUUAGAGGUGAAAGGCCUGGGCUCAACCUGGGAACUGCCUUUGAUACUGGCGUGCUGGAGUACGGGAGAGGGUGACGGAAUUCCCAGUGUAGAGGUGAAAUUCGUAGAUAUUGGGAAGAACACCGGUGGCGAAGGCGGUCACCUGGCCCGGUACUGACGCUGAGGUGCGAAAGCGUGGGGAGCAAACAGG